rnacentral:rRNA from 1 species
UACGUAGGGGGCGAGCGUUGUCCGGAAUUAUUGGGCGUAAAGAGCUUGUAGGCGGUUUGUCGCGUCUGCUGUGAAAAUCCGGGGCUCAACCCCGGACUUGCAGUGGGUACGGGCAGGCUAGAGUGUGGUAGGGGAGACUGGAAUUCCUGGUGUAGCGGUGAAAUGCGCAGAUAUCAGGAGGAACACCGAUGGCGAAGGCAGGUCUCUGGGCCACUACUGACGCUGAGAAGCGAAAGCAUGGGGAGCGAACAGG